CAUGUACUCCCUCCGUUCGGAAUUACUUGUCAUAAAAAUAGAUGUAUCUACAACUAAAAUACAUCUAGAUACAUUCAUUUCUUGGACAAGUAAUUCCGAACGGAGGGAGUACUUC
rnacentral:pre_miRNA from 1 species